AUGAACGCUGGCGGCGUGCCUAAAACAUGCACGUCGAGCGAACGGAAGAGAAGCUGCCUUCUCUGAUGUUAGCGGCGGACGGGAGAGUAAAACGUGGAUAAGCUACCUAUUUGUUUGGGAUAAAUAAGGGAGACAAGCGUUCACACAGGCUACUAUCUAGAUACGCAUGGAACAAAAGUGACAGCCGGUCUUGCUGUCACUUAUAGAUGGAUCUGCGUUGCAUUAGCUAGUUGGUAGGGUAACGGCCAACCAAGGCAACGAUGCAUAGCCGGCCUGAGAGGGUGAUCAGCCACACUGGAACUGAGACACGGUCCAGACUCCUACGGGAGGCAGCAGUGGGGAAUCUUCGACAAUGGGCGAAAGCCUGACGGAGCCACGCCGCGUGAGUGAUGAAGGUCUUCGGGUCGUAAAACUCUUUUAUUGGGGAAGAACAUAAGUGUGUGUAUCUGUGCACGUCUUGACGGUACCUAAUCAGUAAGCCACGGCUAACUUCGUG
rnacentral:rRNA from 1 species